AAACCUGCCGGAAAUGACGAAACUGACAGGAAGUCUGUAUGUACUGGGAGCUCAGGACGCGUCAGGCCGAAAGCGGUGCAGGUGUAGUCUUGCGAAACAGGACACAUAUUGCUAACUUCCGAUUAAAACAGGAUCAAGAAAGCCCUGCGAGGCCACGAAUUUCGUAAAGCUGGAAGUUCACAGAUUCCAGCUGUAGUCUAGUGCAUGCGCGGUGGCUGCUGUUUUUAAGCAAUGCCAGCAAGGGAAGAAAUACCAGCAAGUACAGUCAUUCAACCUACCCAGGGUCACCAGCAAUGCAUCUAGAGAAGAUACCCCGAGUUCUUCACGUUUCAAGUUCCAAGUUCAGUAGCCAAGCUUCUCAAAUACUGUAUCAACUGAAAUUAUUUUAAGUUAAUUAACAUGUUCAUUUUGUGUUAUUUAAAUGUAUAGAAAUAUGAAAUUAGGUGUAGACUUAGAUCUACAGUUUUCAUAUGACUACUAAAAUCACACAAUAAAAAUAUGCAAACCCACCAAACCAACACACAUGGCUUUAUUAUUUUAUAAUAAAGAUGCCAUAAAAAUCA
rnacentral:lncRNA from 1 species